rnacentral:rRNA from 1 species
CUGGCGGCGUGCCUAAUACAUGCAAGUCGAACGCACUCUCGUUUAGAUUGAAGGAGCUUGCUCCUGAUUGAUAAACAUUUGAGUGAGUGGCGGACGGGUGAGUAACACGUGGGUAACCUGCCCUAAAGUGGGGAUAACAUUUGGAAACAGAUGCUAAUACCGCAUAAAACCUAACACCGCAUGGUGUAGGGUUGAAAGAUGGUUUCGGCUAUCACUUUAGGAUGGACCCGCGGUGCAUUAGUUAGUUGGUGAGGUAAAGGCUCACCAAGACCGUGAUGCAUAGCCGACCUGAGAGGGUAAUUCGGCCACACUGGGACUGAGACACGGCCCAGACUCCUACGGGAGGCAGCAGUAGGGAAUCUUCCACAAUGGACGAAAGUCUGAUGGAGCAACGCCGCGUGAGUGAAGAAGGUUUUCGGAUCGUAAAACUCUGUUGUUGGAGAAGAAUGUAUCUGAUAGUAACUGAUCAGGUAGUGACGGUAUCCAACCAGAAAGCCACGGCUAACUACGUG